rnacentral:rRNA from 1 species
UACGUAGGGUGCGAGCGUUAAUCGGAAUUACUGGGCGGAAAGUGUGCGCAGGCGGCCGCGCAAGUCGAGUGUGAAAGCCCCGGGCUUAACUUGGGAAUUGCGCUCGAAACUACGUGGCUGGAGUGUGGCAGAGGAAGGUGGAAUUCCAGGUGUAGCGGUGAAAUGCGUAGAGAUCUGGAGGAACACCGAUGGCGAAGGCAGCCUUCUGGGCCAACACUGACGCUCAUGCACGAAAGCGUGGGGAGCAAACAGG